AUUGAACGCUGGCGGCAUGCUUUACACAUGCAAGUCGAACGGCAGCACGGACUUCGGUCUGGUGGCGAGUGGCGAACGGGUGAGUAAUACAUCGGAACGUGCCCAGUUGUGGGGGAUAACUACUCGAAAGGGUAGCUAAUACGGCCUGAGAACUGAGGUUGAAAGCAGGGGAUCGUAAGACCUUGCGCAACUGGAGCGGCCGAUGGCAGAUUAGGUAGUGGGUGGGAUAAAAGCUUACCAAGCCGACGAUCUGUAGAUGGUCUGAGAGGACGACCAGCAACACUGGGACUGAGACACGGCCCAGAUUCCUACGGGAGGCAGCAGUGGGGAAUUUUGGACAAUGGGCGAAAGCCUGAUCCAGCAAUGCCGCGUGCAGGAUGAAGGCCUUCGGGUUGUAAACUGCUUUUGUAAGGAACGAAAAGCCCUGGGUUAAUACCCUGGGGUCAUGACGGUACCGUAAGAAUAAGCACCGGCUAACUACGUGCCAGCAGCCGCGGUAAGAC
rnacentral:rRNA from 1 species